AGAGCUGGUCUAUUAAAUUUGAAUUGAAAUAUUACUUGGGUUUAGUUGAGCAUAAAUAUUUCAAUUUAACGUGCAUGUUUGAUAUUAGCGUGCAUGUUUAAUAUUAGCGUGCCUUUUUGAUAUAAGCGUGCAUGGUGUAUAUGAGCACUAUAUUAUUAGAGUGUAACAAUUGACAGUUCGAAAGCUCGAAUGAGCGCGAAAACAGCUUGCACGGAGAACUUAGGAAAUACUAAUUAGGGUAUGAAAUAUCACACGGAUUGCAUUUUUGAUUUUUAUGCAUUACGCGGCAUAUGAAAUAUACGCCAUCAACAUAAAAUUUAUCCUUUGCAAUGCAUUUUUGAAAAUUAUUAUUCUGUAUGGAUUUUGUCUAUUUUUUGAUACACUUGGGACUCGGCGAUUUUUUAUUUGCAGUUUUAUUAGCAGGCUAUCGCAUGGAAGUAACAAUGCGUGGCUACUAAUUCGCGAGUUUUUUCGUAUAUUCGUCGGUGUUAUGGCAUAGAACGAUAUUUCUACAGUCCCCAAGUGUACCACAAGUAAGUCGGAAAAACUAGAACUAACAAGGAGAACGAGUAACAAAAAUUGGAUAUAUUUCAGCCAACCGGAUAAUGAGGAAGGAAAAGACGAAACUUCCGAGGAUCGACAACAUUCGUGGCAGAGAUGGCAGACGAAGAACAGUAGUUCUGAAAGCGCCAUUGAGGAUAUUAUGAAAGGGUAACUUCCACAACAACAUUUCCUACCAUCGUAACCAUAAUUUGCCAAUUUGGUUCACUAUUUCAGCGGACUCAGCCCCUACCCUACAGCUGUGCCUAUAGCGUACUCUAGGCUGACAAAUGGAACCUACCGGCGAUUCCAGGGGAAGGUUUGCUAACGUACCUGAGACAUGAGACUGUGAAGUCAGGUGUGAUUUCAUCAGCCGCCGGAAUGAUUCCAUCGUGGGUUCCGAUACCACCAAUGUCAUUCAUACUGGUGUGUUCAGGUUUCCGGAAUGUCGAAGUAUUUCAUUGUCGUUCGGUGAUAGUGGAGCGCCUCAUAUAUUGAAAUAAAUGUUUUUUAUAUCAUGUCUUUCAAUUCAACUAAUUUGUUUUUCAUCUUCCUGCCGUUGGGCUUGAAAGUAAACAAAAGAAUAGUGACAGCUUAAAAAUAAUGCGCAGUUAUGCAUUGUAAUUCAUAAAAAUGUUUUAUACUUUGAAGGCAUAAUGAAAAGAUAUUCAUUCCAUGGAGUGAAUAGACGGAAUAUGGUUUUAGUAUAGGUUUUAAGCAUUUCAGUAUUUAAAUAUUUAAGCGUGUGGCUUGAAUCCAGACUUCAGUUUAGUGAAAAUUGUUGUGGAUGAUGGUUGUGGAAGAAAACGGCAGUGUAAUUUUCAGCCGUAGUGGAAAAUCGACUGAUGGCCGAAUCUGCCGAAAGCUGUACAGCUCAAAAUUACGGAUACUACAAUAUAUAUAAACAUCUAACCGGGAAGGCUACUCGUUCCGUCAAACUACAUCCUCCAAUGUCUUUCAUCAAUCCCCCAGAGAUUUACAAUACCCGGGGAUACAUUCAAGAGCAGCAAAAGCUUCGACACAAAUACCACAAUUUUUACUUAAAAUCAUGUACUAUCCCAACAUUAAUGUUUAAGAUAAUAAAAUAAAUGUUAUGCUUUUUGUA
rnacentral:lncRNA from 11 species